AGCUCCAAUAGCGUAUAUUAAAGUUGCUGCAGUUAAAAAGCUCGUAGUUGCAUUUUCGAGGCAAGGGAUUAGUCCGACCUUUGGUGGGUAUUUAAUUUUCUUGCCUCGUCCUUGAGUGGUGCUUCUUGGUAUUAAGUUAUCGAGGAGAUAGCCGCUCAUCGUUUACUGUGAGAAAAUUAGAGUGUUCAAAGCAGGCUUAUGCCGUUGAAUAUAUUAGCAUGGAAUAAUAAGAUAGGACCUCGGUACUAUUUUGUUGGUUUGAGAACCAAGGUAAUGAUGAAUAGGGACAGUUGGGGGUAUUCGUAUUCAGUUGUCAGAGGUGAAAUUCUUAGAUUUACGGAAGACGAACUACUGCGAAAGCAUUUACCAAGGAUGUUUUCA
rnacentral:rRNA from 1 species